rnacentral:rRNA from 1 species
UACAGAGGGUGCGAGCGUUGUCCGGAAUCACUGGGCGUAAAGGGCGCGUAGGUGGCGACCCAAGUCGAUGGUGAAAGCUCGCCGCUCAACGGCGAGUCGGCCACCGAUACUGGGUUGCUCGAGCACUGUAGAGGCUCAUGGAAUUCCGGGUGUAGCGGUGGAAUGCGUAGAGAUCCGGAAGAACACCGGUGGCGAAGGCGGUGAGCUGGGCAGUUGCUGACACUGAGGCGCGGACAGCGUGGGGAGCAAACAGG